rnacentral:lncRNA from 1 species
UUCGAUGAAAGAGAGGUUUUGUCUUUAUUUUAGUAACUUUGGCAUAGUUGAUGUUUGAAAAUGCUGAGGGAAUGCAUCCCUUCUGGCAGUGAUUUCAAUUGGGGGCAUUCAGAAAUCUAGCCUUUCCCUAAUAUCCUUCAUUCUAUGAUUCAUCCAGACCAAAAAAGCACCCAGCAUGUCUGUCUUUCUCCACAAGUCCUCCGUUGCUAAGUCAUCAACAUACUAUAAAACAUCUUUAAGCUUCUGUACCCAAGUUGUUACUGUUGCUCCUCUUCAGCAUCAGCAAGUACAAAUUUGAAAGAGGACAGUGUGUCCUUAUGCUUCAUAAACUCCUCUUGAACCAUACAUCUCUACAAAAACAAAAUACCCUAACCUCAUCAAAAGAUUGUCAACAAUAUUACUGAAUGAAAUUUGUUCAGCCAUCUUUCAAAGGUCUAAGGGAAAAUGAAAGGAGUUUUAGCAACAGAAAAAAAUGAGAAAAGCCAAGUGAGGACUGAAGGGUCUGAAUAAACUUGGGUGUGUUUGCUCUGUUCAAUUCAAGUGGGAUUAAUUACUUGACCCUCAUGAUUGACCUACCUACCAUAUUUUUCAUUUUUUUUUCUUAUUAAAAUUUUCAGACAAAUAAAAUUACUUGAAAAUUACUGGAUAUUACUUAUUAUUUAAAAAUUAAAAUAAAAAUUGCUAACCUUCUUGUAAUAUAAUUAGUAAACAUAUUUUCGUUUUAUAAGUUAUAAUCAAACCGGUUUAUAUAUCCUAUUUUUAAAAAUAACAAAGACAGAAAAUUGUCUGAAAAUGUGAAUCUCAAUAAUGAACUACACCUAGAGGGGGGUGAAUAGGUGUUGUAGAACAAUUUAAAAAAUCCUUCCAACAAAAAUUACCUAACCUUAGACUAUCUUAAUGUCAAGAAUUUUUUCUUCUAAUAACUUUUCAACAAAGCAAAACAUCCACAAGCAAUAAUGUAUGCAUCAACACUCUCCCAACAAUUUAUAAGUGCAAAACACAUGCAAAUGCUUCAACACUUCUCAAAAAUAAAUCAAAAUAUAGAGUGAGAGAAAGAGACAAUGAACACCGGAUUUUUAACGUGGAAAUCCUCCGAAGAGAUCAAAAACCACGGGCCUAUCACCGAUUGAAAACUCCACUAUGAAGAAUAAAAACUGAGUACAAGGUUUUACCUAGCUCAAGCCAACCAAUCCUUCCCGGAAUACUUGACUAGUACCUUCAUUUUCAGCUUCCCCUUUUGGAGCAUACUUGGAGUCCGCACCAAGCUCAAUCUCGGCCUCUUCUUGAAUCCACACAAGAAGAAAAUGGGUUUUUGCACAACCCAAAUAGAAUGAGAGAUUUAGAUGUGAAUGAAAGAAUGAAUCAACCCAUUUAUUGCUCAAGAAAAUCCAUUGAAAACUAGUUUUGAAAACAUUAAGAGAAGUGGAUUUUCUUUGCAAUCAAAAACCCCAACUUAGGAAAGCAAAAAUGAGAAAUGAAGAACACUUGGAGUGUGGCUGCUCUAACCCAUUUUCUGCAGUCUCUCAUUUUAGAAAAUGAGAGAAGAUUGGUUUUUAAAGUGUAAAAAGAAACCCUUAAUCUAAUGGCUGAGAUUUG